GGGCCAAAGGCUCACAAAGAGAAACAGCAGGGCGUCAUAUCAAGGCAUCUCUUUGUCUCUCCAUUGGAGCCUUGGAAAAAAUCUAUCCAUCCCUCUACUGCCUGCCAACAUAUAUUCAAAAACCUCUAUUACGACUCAUGGGAAAGGAAGCAUCGGUUUUGUCAAUUUGAGCACUCAAAGUAACAAAGGGUUGGAGGCUUGGAGCAAAUCAAAAAGAAGAAAGAACAGAGCAAAAAUGGGUCACAGGAGAAGUAAUCGCCACAAAGGAAGAGGUGAGGGUGGUGAUGAAGAGGGCAACUCUUGCUACCCCUGCUAUGUGUUCAGCUCUUUCAUUAGAGGGAUCGGGAGGUGCCUAUUUGUGGCUUGCUAUCCCGUGAUCCAGUGUUGUGGCCUUGAUGAAUGCAGGCACCACCACAACACACACCUAAGCCACUUCAGAUGAUGCAUCCAUCGGCCAAGUAUACAACACCUGAACCAUCAAUUCUUUUCUCUCUCUGUUUUUUCUCUCUACCCGUGGGAUUAUAGCUCUUAGUAAUCAUGUCAUCUUCUCGGGAAGAAUUGUUCAUAUCAAUAUAUGGUGCUAUGAGCCUUUGCUAGGUUUGCAUCUUUUAAUUAGCUCCAAUUUCCACUAGAGAAGAAAGGCUUGUGUGCCUGACCUCAGCAAUUGUUAGAAGAAUGCAGGGGAAGAAAUAUGCAUCCCAAAGAGCUAUUUGUCUCUUGCAAGCUUGCUACUAAUUUUGCUGCUUCUUUCAUAACAUGGUGACACAUUUGAUA